UCGGGAAUUUUGGGCAAUGGGCGAAAGCCUGACCCAGCAACGCCGCGUGAAGGAUGAAAUCUUUCGGGAUGUAAACUUCGGAAGAAUAGGAAGAAUAAAAUGACGGUACUAUUUUAAGGUCCGGCUAACUACGUGUCAGCAGCCGCGGUAAUACGUAGGGACCAAGCGUUGUUCGGAUUUACUGGGCGUAAAGGGCGCGUAGGCGGCGUAAUAAGUCACUUGUGAAAUCUCCGGGCUUAACUCGGAGCGGCCAAGUGAUACUGUUAGGCUAGAGUGCAGAAAGGGCAAUCGGAAUUCUUGGUGUAGCGGUGAAAUGCGUAGAUAUCAAGAGGAACACCUGAGGCGAAGGCGGGUUGCUAGGCUGACACUGACGCUGAGGCGCGAAAGCUAGGGUAGCAAACGGGAUUAGAUACCCAUGUAGUCCCUGAGCGGGCUGGCAAGGCGCAU
rnacentral:rRNA from 1 species